rnacentral:rRNA from 1 species
AUUGAACGCUGGCGGCAGGCUUAACACAUGCAAGUCGAGCGGAGUGAUGGUGCUUGCACUAUCACUUAGCGGCGGACGGGUGAGUAAUGCUUAGGAAUCUGCCUAUUAGUGGGGGACAACAUCUCGAAAGGGAUGCUAAUACCGCAUACGUCCUACGGGAGAAAGCAGGGGAUCACUUGUGACCUUGCGCUAAUAGAUGAGCCUAGGUCGGAUUAGCUAGUUGGUGGGGUAAAGGCCUACCAAGGCGACGAUCUGUAGCGGGUCUGAGAGGAUGAUCCGCCACACUGGGACUGAGACACGGCCCAGACUCCUACGGGAGGCAGCAGUGGGGAAUAUUGGACAAUGGGGGGAACCCUGAUCCAGCCAUGCCGCGUGUGUGAAGAAGGCCUUAUGGUUGUAAAGCACUUUAAGCGAGGAGGAGGCUCUUUUGGUUAAUACCCAAGAUGAGUGGACGUUACUCGCAGAAUAAGCACCGGCUAACUCUGUACCAGCCGCCGCAGUAA